UUAAGUUCAGCGGGUAAUCCUACCCGAUUUGAGAUCAAAAAAGGUUUGAAAAGAGGCGCAUAUAUGCACUUCGAUCCUGUUGUCCGAAGACGAUUAGAAGCAAGCCCAACGAGACCGUCGAGUUUGACGCAGAUAAUUAUCACGCCAAGAGACAGUCAGCACAGGGAAGUCUCGCUAAUAGAUUUAAAGGGAGCUGACCG
rnacentral:misc_RNA from 1 species